rnacentral:rRNA from 1 species
AUCGAACGCUGGCGGCAGGCCUAACACAUGCAAGUCGAGCGGAUGAAGGGAGCUUGCUCCUGGAUUCAGCGGCGGACGGGUGAGUAAUGCCUAGGAAUCUGCCUGGUAGUGGGGGAUAACGCCCGGAAACGGGCGCUAAUACCGCAUACGUCCUGAGGGAGAAAGUGGGGGAUCUUCGGACCUCACGCUAUCAGAUGAGCCUAGGUCGGAUUAGCUAGUUGGUGGGGUAAGGGCCUACCAAGGCGACGAUCCGUAACUGGUCUGAGAGGAUGAUCAGUCACACUGGAACUGAGACACGGUCCAGACUCCUACGGGAGGCAGCAGUGGGGAAUAUUGGACAAUGGGCGAAAGCCUGAUCCAGCCAUGCCGCGUGUGUGAAGAAGGUCUUCGGAUUGUAAAGCACUUUAAGUUGGGAGGAAGGGCAGUAAGUUAAUACCUUGCUGUUUUGACGUUACCAACAGAAUAAGCACCGGCUAACUUCGUG